rnacentral:rRNA from 1 species
UACAGAGGUCUCAAGCGUUGUUCGGAUUCAUUGGGCGUAAAGCGCGUGUAGGCGGUCCGGUAAGUCCGCUGUGAAAGUCAGGGGCUCAACCCUUGAAAGCCGGCCGAUACUGUCGGACUAGAGUCCGGAAGAGGCAAGUGGAAUUCCCGGUGUAGCGGUGAAAUGCGCAGAUAUCGGGAGGAACACCAAUGGCGAAGGCAGCUUGCUGGGACGGUACUGACGCUGAGGCGCGAAAGCGUGGGGAGCAAACAGG